UUAAGAGUUUCAGCGUUUACCAGUAUGAGCGAGACUAAAAAGCAGCAUGAGCACAGCGUGGCGAACUCAGCAGCACAGGUGACCAUGCAGCCCCCCCAGGGAGGAGGAUUUUGUGGAUGAGAAAGAGGAGGAGGAGAAUGCGCAGCAGGCAAGUGGUGAAUCCGUUCUCCCCAGCAGCCAGGACCUUUUCAUCACCCUGGAGCCAAUACCCUCCCAAGGCGAGAUCCCCGACCCUGAAGCCGGAGAAGGCACCUUUGAUGCAAAUGUUUCCAGGCUCCCCUAUCAUCUCCGUCCCUGAGGUUAUCGCAGAUUAGAAGGCGAAAAAAACACACUCGCGAUGACAUGUUUUCCGAGCUCAUGCAGUCCUCCCGCACUGAUAGGGCACAGCUUAAUGCAUGGAGGCAUUCAGUGGCAGAGGCCAGGAAAGAAUUAAGUGAGCACGAAGAGCGGAGGCAGGACGCGACGCUGAGGCUAAUGGGGGAGCAAACGGACAUGAUGAAGCGUCUGUUGGAGCUGCAGGAAAGCCAACAAGAGCACAGACCCCCACUGCAUCCACUGUAUAACCGCGUGCCCUCCUCCCCAAGUUCCAUAUCCGCCUCACCCAGAUGCCCAAGAACGUAGGGAGGGAGGCUUUGGGCACCCAGCCACUCCACUCCAGAGGAUGGCCCAAGCAACAAAAGGCUAUCAUUCAAACAGUUUGAUUUUUAGUGUGGCUACAAUAAACAAUGUGGCCUUGUCCUUCCCUCCUCCCCCACCCCACCCGGGCUACAUUGUCCGUUAUCUCAUUUUUUUUUAAUUAAUAAAGAAAGAAUGCAUGGUUUCAAAACAAUAGUUACUUUAUUUCGAAGGGGGGAGGGUGGUUGGCUUACAGGGAAUUAAAAUCAACAAAG